GGCAGGCUGGGAAGCCAGGCAGGCCUCCCAAGCCAGAGGGCUGUUUCUGGGCCUACUGCUGCCUGUGUGAUGCCCACCAGGUGCCUGUAUCCUUCCAUAACCCACCUGGGGCUCUGCCAGGUUCCGAGCAGGGAGAAGAAGAUGCCUGCACCUGCGGAGCUCCAAGAAGGGAGGAGGAGGUGUGAGGACCCCACGGCAGGAAAGCUGUCAGCGUCUGCGUUUCUCAUUUGCUACGGUGCCCCAGGCCCCUGGAACCCUGCUCUUCUCGCUGAUGAGGGGAUUGGGAGAAGAAGCCCAGCCUCCUCCACACCAGGAAAAAGGAGCCCCGAGCGUGCCUCACAUCCCGCCCACACCCCAGAGCCUGGCAGCCUUCUCCCAGCCUCACUGGGGCUGGGCUGCCCUGACCUCCAGUGUCCUGCUGUCCUGAUGAAGCAGGCGUAGGCAGGAUGUCCCUUCUGGCUCCCUUCUGGCUGUGGCAGCUGUGAUUCCAGCCACAGGUCCUGCUCCCAGGCUGCCAUCUCCUACCCAUGCUCCUCUACUCUGGCCCUCCAGCAAUGAACAAUGACAGCAACCUGCCCCACUGUGACGGCCACAAAAGGACCGUGUGAUCCCGGCUGGACCAGACCCAAAGCGAAGGACAAUCCCUCUCCUGCUGUGAUGUCAAUGUCAUGGGCAGACUGGGACCCCUGGGGGACGCUGUGCAACAGGCUGCCUCCUUGCAAAGCCAACAAACACAGCCAAAAGGCAGCACACAGCAGACCUGAGGCAAAGGUUUCUGGGGACAUCACCAGAAACCCUGGGAUGUAGCUGUGCCUGAACCUACUCAUCCCAAACACUUGAACUGACAAAUCUGCUCAAAAUCCCCUUCAUUUUGGAGAUUCGUUUUUCCAGCUAGCUUUAUUAGGGCUGAUUGAAGCUGUAUGACCUUGUCUGUGUUUAUUAACCUCUCUGGGCUUCAGUCUAGUCCAUGGGGAGGGCUGUUUUAUG